rnacentral:rRNA from 1 species
UGUGCCUACAAUCCGUCAGAGCCUCCUUUUGGGGUGAUGGCGUGCCUUUUGAAGAAUGAGCCUGCGAGUCAGGGACACGUCGCAAGGUUAACCCGUGUGGGGUAGCCGCAGCGAAAGCGAGUCUGAAUAGGGCGUUUCAGUGGCGUGUUCUGGACCCGAAGCGGAGUGAUCUACCCAUGGCCAGGGUGAAGCGCGGGUAAGACCGCGUGGAGG